CUCAGCCAAAGAAGAAGGAUGGCUUUUACCUAGUGAUGCUGAUUCAUUGAAUUGCAACCAGACCUUAGAACUGAAGAGUUCAGCUGAACCUCGAACUGAAGAGGCAUUCUUCAAUCAAGUUGUAGCUCUGUCCCAAGUGGGUCUCCUCUUACUUGCAAAUGCGAAGAGGAAUGCCAUAUAUGCUGUACACUUGGAUUAUGGUCCUAAUCCAGCGGCAUCUCGCAUGGAUUACAUAUCAGAGUUUACUGUUACCAUGCCUAUCUUGAGUUUAACAGGGACUAGUGAUGUUUUACAUGGCCAAUGUGUUGCUCAGGUUUAUUGCGUCCAGACACAGGCUAUUCAGCAGUAUACUUUGGACUUGUGCCAGUGCUUGCCGCCACUGUUGGAGAAUGUGGGUUCAGAGAAGUCAGAUCCCAAUGUUUCACAUGAUCUAGCUAAUGUUGAAGGAGUUGCUCCUUUGGACUCACGUGGAAGCAACUUUUCUGACAUCCCUACAAGCUCUGCUUCUGUUGAUGCAGCCACUUUGCAUCAUAUUUCCUCUUCUAAUAGUCCCUCUACGCCUCCAGUUUUGACCCCUUCAGCUAGUGACACUGAGAUCACAUGUGUUACAUCAUCUCCUCUUUUCUUGACGCGCAAGGUUUUAACNNNNNNNNNNNNUUACGGUUGCAGGAAGGCUUGAGCCAGGUCCUCCACCUGGUGACCAAAGUUUAAAUCAGCCAGUCAUUGAUUAUUCAGUUGACCAGAAAAUGGACACUAUUCAUGCAAAUGUAUCAAAUGUUACUUCCUUGGAUAGUGACUCAAGGACUGAUGAGAUGAA
rnacentral:misc_RNA from 1 species